AGCUGCUCAGGCUGUGAUGAGAACAGAGGCUUCACCUGUUGUGCUUCUGUUCAUAGUUGGAAACAUUUCUGGAAUGUUUGCUGCGCGCCCACAAGAAUUUAGAUGUUUCCACAUGUUCAGACAGAGCCCAAAGACACCGAGACACGCACAGUAAGUUUCUGUCAUUGUGUGUGUGUGAGAGAUACAGAGGACAACAACAGGGCAUGCAUGCCUCGUUCCAUUUCUCAAAAACCACAGCAAGUGGAACCAGACUGAAAAGGGAACUCGCAUGCUUCUUGGCGUCGCCUGAUCAUCUGAGUCACCAGCGUUACUUCAGCCAUCGAUGAGUCACAGGCACAUGGAGGAUCCGUGAAGAAGAUGUUGUUUUUUAGGAAUAUUCUAGUUCAUGCUGUAUAACGUCCAUGAAAGAAGUGGGUUCCUGUUCUCACUUAUGUUAUAGCAGCUGUUAAUAUACUCUCCGUCAAUGGCCUUGCUUUUUAUUGGCUCCUAAAGUAAAAACAUUUCAAAAACAGUUCCAACUUUGACCCCGUUCCAAAAAUGUUGCAAUUACACACACAUCGUUCAUAUGGAGCUUCUGCUUUACACCAAUUGUGAUGAAGAGAUAAUCACUUCAACAGUCAUAAUGUCA